ensembl:snoRNA small nucleolar RNA, C/D box 68
UGAUGACACUGUCUCCGGAAUCUCUGUAGUCUCCAUGAUGACUGGCUUGAACCCUUUUCCAGCUGAUGACUGUGACGCCUCCAC